rnacentral:sRNA from 1 species
GCUGGGUGUGGUGGCACAUGCCUGUAAUCCCAGCUACUCGGGAGGCUGAGGCAGAAGAAUUGCUUGAACCCGGGAGGUGGAGGUUGCAGUGAGCCAAGAUCAUGCCACUGUACUCCAGCCUGGGUAACAGAGCGAGACUCUGUCUCAA